AAGGACAAUUAACAGUGCCAUGAAUUACUGAGGACAGAGUCAACUACAAUAAUUUUUCUACAGUAUGAAUGGCCUAAUGAGAACAUGAAGCUGAGCAGGCAGAACCUGGAAAAUAGGUGUUUUAUCCAGUUCAUCACUACAAGUAAUCCCUUUAACAAGAAACUCCUCCCUAGACCUUGAAGAUCAGAUGUGAUUCAGUAAGGUGAAUAUUUAUUUAAUACCAUACAAUUCCACCUGGGAAUGAAGUCCA
rnacentral:lncRNA from 1 species